rnacentral:lncRNA from 1 species
CAGUUGUUUCUGAACUUGUGAAAAACGAACAUGUAUUUCAAGAAGUUCCUUUAACAGUGAUUCCAUGCUAUGACGAAUUUGAUGAACUGCAAGAAAUUACAACUAAAACAACAGAAUUCUGUGACGACUAUCAUCUCGAACCUCUCGUCAUGGACUACAUAAUGAAUCAUCACGAAAUUAAAACACAGUUCAAAUUUAAAUCAAUGAAAUAUGAUAAAGGGAAUUCGACAUUUCAUUUUACAAAAGAGUUCGACGAUUCCAAGCUCGCUCAAGAAUUUAAAAAUGAGUUUUUACACUCGUUUGUCAAAGAGGAAGUGAAAAUCCCGGAAGCUGUUUUCGAGAAAGUCAAGGAAGCGAUUGAGGAAAGAAAAGCAGAAUUCGAAGGAAAGAAAGUCGAUUUUAGUUUUGAUGGUUACCGCGUUACUUUCAUUGGAAAGAAAGAGGACGUUACUCUGGAAAAAAGAUCAACAGAAGCAACGAUAGAUAGGAUUUUAGAAGAAGCCAAGUUUGAAACAACAGAGUUGGUAAUAGAGGACAAAAAUAAACUGAAGUUCUUAAAAUGUAUCGAUUAUUUCAAGAAUGUUAUGACAGAAUUUCCCGGAGUAAAAAUCCAUGGUAUAUUAUCUGGGAAAUUAUCACUUGUAGGAACGGCAGAGAAACACAAAGAUGUCCAUUUACGGAUCUUUCAGGAUUUGGUGAAGAUUUCGGAGAUUGACGUAAAGAUGAGUGAUCGUCAGAUAGAAUUUUUGAAGCGGACUAAAUGCCAGAUUGUGAACAGUGUGUUAAAAAAAGAUGACGUCAUGUUAAUGUUACAGACCCUAAGAGGAGUUGUGGGUGCUAAAGGCUUCCAGGCUAAAAUUAUGACCUUGAAGAAAUGUGAUAAUACUGAGGUAAUACUAAAUAAGAUAAAGUACAUUGAGGUCUGUUUACCUCGGUGGCCGAAGUUUAAUUCUUAUAAGUAUGCAGUUAUCUGAUUUUAAUUUCACCACAGUUGAGUUUUCUUUACCAAACACAACAGGUUUUCUCUCUUGGUACCCUGGUAUAUCUUACUGUUGUGACACUGCAGAAUCAAUAAGGGAUGACACUUACUAGACCUCUUCAGUAGGGAGAACAGUUUAGAACUGAUAGCGCUAUCCAUUAGAAAUAAAGAUAGCCUAGUUUAGGUUUCCUGCUGUGGUAACACUAGACCAAUAAAGGACAACCCUAAUUGGUCUUACUGAUUCCAUUGUAGAACUGUCUACUUUAAAUAACGUUUUGUAACCUUUUACGCCUCGUUAAAAGUGCUAGCCAUACAAAUCAGUAAAAAGAGAUAAUUUUUACAGGAAGAACGACUUCUGCACAUCAUCCAUACGAAGACCUCAGAGAAAUGCAUCGGAGUCGACGAGGAGACAGCAAGCUUCCUGACAAAGUCAAAAAAACUACAAGAGUUCAAGAAGGGAAUAUAUGAUAAACAUCAAGUCUUUAUCGACCCAAAACUCGCAGAUCUUUGCAAUAUCUGGAUCGUCUGUGAAAAAUCCAAGAUGGACAACGCCGUAAAAGAACUAACAAAUCUAAUUAACGAAAAGAAGAUCGGGAGCAGGAAAUUUGGACCAAUGGAUCCGAUGAAAUUUCGUUUUUUAAGGGCCCACUGUUGGGGAAAAAUUAAACAGAAGGAAAAAAGUUGCAAAGCUGAAGGCAUUGCCGUUCAGAAAAUUGAUUCUGAUUCGCUUGAGGUAAAGGGAACACAAGCAGGCAGAAAAGAUAUGAUAUUUUUUCUUGAAAAGUUGGUUGGAAAUGUUCACUUUAAGGUACGUAUUUCGUUUAUGCAGUAAAAGACGGAGAGAUGAUAGAGUAAAGGCUCUUUCGUGUGUUCCCUCUCGCCCUUUUCUGUAAACUUUUAAAUAAAAGGUUGGGUUUCUUUGCCACAAUUGGUGGGUUUCAGUAAGCGUUAUACAGCCUAUCAGUGGUAGGAUAUAAGCCCUGAUAGUAUUCUGAUGAUGGAAUUGUUUUGUUUUAAAACAGAACUUCUCUCUGACUGAACCUGGGAUGAAAAAAGAAAUGAGCAUGCACACAACGACCGCAAUCAUUUCUGACAUUGAGGAGAAUUACAACUGCGUUAUUCAACGAGAAACUCAACCAGAGGAGACUCACGCAGAGAAGACUGAAGAAGCCACUGUAGUAGCAGACGGAGGGACAACCGCAGGGGCCGGUGGUCCAUCCAUGUCCUUCGUCAACGAUAAGGAAGUGAAGAUGGCCUCGGGAAAAAGAAUAACGAUAGUUGUGGGAGAUCUGGCUUAUGAAAAGGUGUUGUGUGACACAAUGGUUUGUUCAUGCAUGCACGUUUGACCUUUGUGAUCCGGAUCUGAUUCGUGCAAUAUACAAUAAUUCUUGUUUGCGAGAAGGAAGCUUCCAGUUUGACUUUACCGAACUCUUCAAAUAGUUCGGUUUCUUCCUGACAUAACACUGCAGUAAAAGCGAUGUUCUUACUUGACGUCUAGAGAAGAACGGUUUAAACCUGUGUAGAGUCAUUUUAGAGCUUUUUUACUAGACAUCUAGGGAGAAGAGUUUAGAAUUACAACUAAUAUGGCAAUAUAAACUCAAUAUAAAUAAAGUUAGGUUACUUUCUUGAGGUGCUUAAUUAAAAUUUCAGGUCAAUUGAGAAAGACUUCAUUUUCCUUCCAGGUGGAUGUGAUUGUAAAUACAACCAAUAGCAAUGUGGAUUUGACGGGCAACGCGUGUGGAAGGGCUUUACUUAAGGUGGCUGGUAAGGAAUUGUUAAACGAAUGUAAGAAAAUCGGAAGUCUUCAAGCGGGACAAAUGGUUUCAACUGGACCGGCCAAACUGCAGUGUAAACGCGUGUAUCAUGUUUGCUCAUCAGCAUGGGACAACGGCAAAGGAGCACCGGUAAUGCUAUUUUAAUUUCUAGUUUUGUUGACUUGUAAUAACUGCUAUGUCAGAUUGUGCAGGAGGUAAUUCAUUUUCUCGCAUGUUGACUAUAUGUUGUACAGAACCUGUAGCUACAUUAAGCAUAGUUAGAUCAUACAAAGAAUAUGGGAUAAUAUUAACAAUCGAUAAUGUUUUAAAUUCAAAAUUUUUGUUUAGAUUCUACGUACGCUCAUCAAAGAAUGUCUGGACCAAGUCGAGAAAGACAAAUUAACAUCCAUUGCCCUCCCCGCCAUUGGCACUGGAAAUUUGCAUUUCCCGCGUCCAGAAGUUGCGAAAAUCUUUUUCGAAGAAACUACCGCCUACCUUACUGCGCAUCCUCAGUCGACCAUUAAUGAUGUUCGCUUUGUAGCGUAUAGUGGCGACAAAGCAACAGUGGACGCAUUUCUAGGUUUGUUGUCCAACUUAUAUGCUAAAUCUUUAAUUGAAGAGGGUUGCUAGUCUUAAUAUCCAAGAUAAUUUACUGGUGGCCCCCAACUGGCCCUUUUCAUAACGGAACACAUGUGUUAAAACAAUCGGUGACUAGUGGCGAUAUUCAAAACAAUGAAAAAACAUAAUAGGUUUUGUUUGUGGAAACACCACGUAAAUUUAUUACUGCAAAGCUUUCGAUCCGUAAGCCCGGAUCUUCAUCAGUGCACAUAUUAUUAGCACUGAUGAAGAUCCGGGCUUACGGAUCGAAAGCUUUGCAGUAAUAAAUUUACGUGGUGUUUCCACAAACAAAACCUAUUAAUGAAAAAACAACUGAACAUUAAUUUUGAGGACUUAAUCUUCACUGGAUGGUACUAACUUUUAUGCAGAGAACUACUAAACUACCGAAUCGCCACUGUGUUAUAUAAAAAUAAAUGGGAUGGUAUUAUUGGUAUAUUAACUGAACAUUAAUUUUGAGGACUUAAUCUUCACUGGAUGGUACUAACUUUUAUGCAGAGAACUACUAAACUACCGAAUCGCCACUGUGUUAUAUAAAAAUAAAUGGGAUGGUAUUAUUGGUAUAUUAACUGAACAUUAAUUUUGAGGACUUAAUCUUCACUGGAUGGUACUAACUUUUAUGCAGAGAACUACUAAACUACCGAAUCGCCACUGUGUUAUAUAAAAAUAAAUGGGAUGGUAUUAUUGGUAUAUUAACUGAACAUUAAUUUUGAGGACUUAAUCUUCACUGGAUGGUACUAACUUUUAUGCAGAGAACUACUAAACUACCGAAUCGCCACUGUGUUAUAUAAAAAUAAAUGGGAUGGUAUUAUUGGUAUAUUAACUGAACAUUAAUUUUGAGGACUUAAUCUUCACUGGAUGGUACUAACUUUUAUGCAGAGAACUACUAAACUACCGAAUCGCCACUGUGUUAUAUAAAAAUAAAUGGGAUGGUAUUAUUGGUAUAUUAACUGAACAUUAAUUUUGAGGACUUAAUCUUCACUGGAUGGUACUAACUUUUAUGCAGAGAACUACUAAACUACCGAAUCGCCACUGUGUUAUAUAAAAAUAAAUGGGAUGGUAUUAUUGGUAUAUUAACUGAACAUUAAUUUUGAGGACUUAAUCUUCACUGGAUGGUACUAACUUUUAUGCAGAGAACUACUAAACUACCGAAUCGCCACUGUGUUAUAUAAAAAUAAAUGGGAUGGUAUUAUUGGUAUACCAGGUUUUAUGCAAAGAUAUACACCUACUCGCUUGAAGUUGGUGUUUGUAUUUCUUGUGCGUAUAUUAUCAACCAGCACCAGGCCUCGAAUUUCCCUGAAAUCAAUCGACGGCAAUGGCGUUAAAAAUUGCCGUAGAACGUAACAGCUGUCCAGGGAAAUUUUGACAGUUUCCACGGCAUUUUUAAAAUUACUGUAAUAAAACUUUAAUUCUAUUGUUACUUUGGAUUUUUGACAAGCUGGAAACAACUGAAACAUGUCUACAUAUUUUCUUAGUGUUUUUUUUUUCGAAGAAAACUGAGACUAAGAUAGUGAUUUACGUAUGAUUUGACCAACAUGUGAAUUCAAGUAUCAAAAUAGUAAUGCACAGUGAAUAGUACAAAAAGUGCAUUAUACGGAAAAAAUUGCCGUCGUUGCUGCAAUGAUCCACAGCAUUUUGUUCACCCUCUACGGCAAUUGCCGCGAUAAAAUUCGAGCCCUGACCAGCACCGACUUUGCUUUUGAAGCUGGGAGACCCGCGGGUUCAAUUCUUGGCCGGACCUCUACUCAAGGUCUUAAAAUAAUUGAGGAGAAAGAGCUAUCUUUACAUUGACAUCAGUAAAUGGUUAGACUUUCGCGUCGCCUCAGGUAAGAACGUUAAAUCGCAGGUACCUCGGAUCCACAUCAAUUGGGCAAUAUAGUCUGUUGGGAAAUCCGCUUACCAGUGAGUGAGAAAGUUAAUAAAAACUAUUACUUAGUAAAUGCUGAUGUUCAAAGAUGUUGUUUCACAUUUUUUCUAAUAGGUGCGAUACAGGAAUUCAAGUCAAUGGUUUCAUCGCUUUCCAGCAAGACCGUGCCGGUACUAAUGCCCACAAAGAAAGAAAGAGCAAGUUCAAGCAGCUUAAGUAAUGUGACUAGAACUGGAAAGUCUGACGGAUCUUUGGAACUGUCGCUUGGGAGCGGAAACCUCACAGUUCAAAUCGUAUGCAAUGAUAUCAGCAAAGAAACGACCGAUCUUAUCAUGCACGUGACCAAUCAAGAUUUCUCUUUUCAGGGUGGUGUGGGAAAAGCGUUGAUAAAAGCUGGGGGCGAUAGCAUCGUUCAGGAAUGCAAGGCUCUCGGACAACCUGCUCUCUUUUCGACCCAGUACACCAACGCGGGAAAAUUAUCUGUUAAUGAAAUCGCGCACGUUAUCGGUCCAGACCAGCCUACCUUUCCCGACUUAAAAAGGUGUCUUCACACAUUUUUCGACGAUGUUUCGAGGAAAAAUAUCGGCAAGGUUUCUUUUUCGGCUAUAGGGGCUGGUGCGAUGGGUUUCUCUGAAAGUCAAUCGGCCGAAUUGAUAUUUGAUAAUUUGUCCAGGAUUGCGGAGUCCAAGAAUCCGACUUUAAAUCUAGUCCGCAUUGUGAUUUUUGAAAAGGCAAAGUUUGUCAAAUUCAAAGAUGCAAGCACAGCUUAUUUCUCCUCCGGGGGUGCCACUAGUCCGAGCCCGCAGGCAGCAAAAUCAUCGCAUUUUCCUAAAACGCUUUUUAGCAGGUUUCGUUCAAGGAAAUCCGUAAAGAGGACAGCAGGAGACAAGGGUGUAUCAGUGAAGAUUUAUUCCGAUGACCGCGGGAAGAUUAAGAAAGCCUGGGGAGAGUUGAAGAGGAAUAUGAGUCAAAAUAUUCAGGAAAACACCAUAAUCGAUGACGUCAUCAAGAAAUUCACCACUCAAGAUCUUGAGACACUACGUAAACUGGAGCGUGAUUUUGAUGUCCUGAUUAAGGCAGAUCAGAGCAAAGGGAAAGUGAAGAUAAAGGGACACAAUUCAGAUAUUUCAAGUAUCCAAGAUGAGAUACGUAAAAUUAUGAAAAAAAUCACAGAAAAUGAAAUCAAAGGUAAAAUUUUUCAAAAAAUUAAUACCAGUUAAUUCUUGUUUUAUUAGUUGACAAACUUAUUCCUGAUUCAUUUUUGCUCUAAAGAAAAUUGAUCUACAUUUCACAAUUUUAUUUAUUUGCCUCCAACUAUACAAAAAUACCACAUAUAAUCAAAGGAAUUGACGUGAUUUUUUCCCUCUGAUAACUGUUAGUUCCUGCCCAUGUAAACCUAGUACUUAUAAAUCAGUCUAUUAAUAACUAACUUUUUGCAUGCUUUCUAAGUUCCAGAUAACUGGGAUAGCACACUGAUUGAAGGCGUUCACAGGGUCAAUCUCGGCACCAGCAGUAAAGAAUACAAGGAUGUAGAAGCUGAAUUCCAUAAAACUGCUCCGAAUCAAAUUGUCUGCAUCGAAAGAAUUCAAAAUAGAGAAAUUUAUGAAUUGUAUAAUGUGAAACGCCAAGCAAUGAUGAAAAAACAUGGCAGCAAUUUCACAGGCAAAGAAUUGAUGCUUUUUCAUGGCACUUCCGUGGAAAAUAUUGGAAAAAUUAAUUCUGGUGGAUUGAACAGAAGCUACGCAGGACAGCAUGGUAUAUUUCAUCAUCAAUUUUAUGUAAAUAUGCAUGUUGUGUUUUUAUUGUUCUUGAUGAUGUUGUGAUUUUAAAAUGUGAUUGUUGCUGUUGUGCCUUGUGGUUGCUGCUGUUGGUAGUGGUGUUAUUGCUGUUGUUGUCGUUGCUCCGUUAUUGUUGACUGUUGUUGCUGCAGCUGUACGUAUCCUUAAUGUUUUUGUUAUUGUUUUAUAGUAGUUAGAGUGUUCUUUUAAUUCAUCUUUUCUGUUUUUCUAGCCACGGCUUUUGGUAGAGGUGUUUACUUCGCCCGAGACGCUAGUUAUUCCUGUCAGCAAACCUACUCACCUCCAGACUGGCAGGGUCUUCGCUACAUGUAUUACGCCAAAGUGUUGGUUGGUGAAUACACACAAGGGAACUCAAAUAUGAUAGUAGCUCCCAAUAAGAAUUCAGGCAAUCCGAAUGAAACAUUUGACUCGGUGGUCGACAACACAGCAUCCCCAAACAUUUAUGUAAUGUUUAAAGAUUAUGAAUAUUACACUGAGUAUCUUAUCACUUUUAUAUAACUUAAAAUCUUCAUCAUAAUAAUCACUUUAAAUUACUUCAAGAUAGCAUAUUUAUAAUCACUUAUUAAAGUAGCACCAAUUAGAUACAGUAUAAUCCGUUAGAAGUAUGAUUGUAGAAUUAGAAAUAUGGGGUUAAAUUUAUAUACGUUAAAGACUUUCAACAAAUUUGAAGGAAGCGAACGAUAUUGGAAAUGUAUCUCAGCACAUUUUGUAAAAUUGAUAAAAACUGAUUGAAGUCAGAGUUAUAAAUCAUGGUUAGCAAACAAAAAGGUCAAUAGUUUUUUAAAUGAUUUUGGAACAAGCUGUUAACAACUUGUAACAGCCUUGUUGAUAUUAUCAGACUUGUUGCAAGAUUGUUCCAGACCGAACAGUCAUGAUAUAACAAUAUUGUUACAACCUUGUGUCCUCAACCUUGUAACAUUCUUGUUAUAUCAUGACUGUAUCAGACUUGUUAGAACAACCUUGUAACAAGUCUGAUAAUGCCAUCAAGCUUGUUACAAGUUGUAGUAACAGCUUGUUCAAAACUUGUUACAACAACUGUCAACUGGGAACAAGCAGUGUGAACACAAUUUCGCGCGAAACGAAUGGAAAAGCAACGUAAUUGGUUAUAUAUUUGGACUAUCUGAUUGGUUUAAAUCUCCUCGCUUAAAAAUCGUUGCUGAAAAUUGGUGGUGCUAUUUUAAAUAUGCAACAUUAUGUUGGUCAACCUGCAGUUAUCAGAGCGAGAAAAUAAUUGUUUUCAUUAUAUGUCGCUAGUAGUCUUGUAUUUGGUUGUAAAUAAACAGAAUUGAGAGAUGUAUUCAUGUAUUCAUUGAGAUAUGUAAACAUUUACAAAAUAAACCAGAAACAGUGCUUAUAUAUCAGCAACUUUGCAAUCAUGCUGUUGAGCUAUAUUGAUAUUAUAACGAAUUAAAAUGCAA